UACGUAGGUGGCAAGCGUUGUCCGGAUUUACUGGGCGUAAAGAGCGCGCAGGCGGUCGUUCAAGUCGCGUGUGAAAGCCCCCGGCUCAACUGGGGAGGGUCACGCGAUACUGAUCGACUCGAAGGCAGGAGAGGGUAGUGGAAUUCCCGGUGUAGUGGUGAAAUGCGUAGAUAUCGGGAGGAACACCAGUGGCGAAGGCGGCUUCCUGGCGCGAAUCUGACGCUGAGGUGCGAAAGCGUGGGGAGCGAUCCGG
rnacentral:rRNA from 1 species